AAAAAACUACCACCGGGUAGUGAAUGCAAGGGCAUUCGUUUUCACAUCGUUAGGUCAUAGAAGAUGUGAGAGCGGAUGCUUUUUUGGA
rnacentral:ncRNA from 1 species